AGAUUGAACGCUGGCGGCAUGCCUAACACAUGCAAGUCGAACGGGAGUAGCAAUACUCUAGUGGCGGACGGGUGAGGAAUACGUAGGAAUUUGCCCUUAAGUGGGGGAUAACCCGGGGAAACCCGGAUUAAUACCGCAUGACCUCGAAAGAGCAAAGUGGGGGAUCGCAAGACCUCACGCUUUUGGAGAAGCCUACGUCGGAUUAGCUAGUUGGUGAGGUAAUGGCUCACCAAGGCGACGAUCCGUAACUGGUCUGAGAGGAUGAUCAGUCACACCGGAACUGAGACACGGUCCGGACUCCUACGGGAGGCAGCAGUGGGAAUAUUGGACAAUGGGCGCAAGCCUGAUCCAGCAAGUGCCGCGUGUGUGAAGAAGGCCGUUCGGUAGUAAGGACACGUUUAAGGUAGGAAGUAAAAACUACGACUACUUAACACAGUAGAGUCUUAGACGGUACGACGAAGAA
rnacentral:rRNA from 1 species